rnacentral:rRNA from 1 species
UCAGUCGACUCCUACGGGGAGGCAGCAGUGGGGGAAUAUUGCACAAUGGGCGCAAGCCUGAUGCAGCCAUGCCGCGUGUGUGAAGAAGGCCUUCGGGUUGUAAAGCACUUUCAGCAGUGAGGAAGGCGGAGUCGUUAAUAGCGGCCUCGUUUGACGUUUAGCUGCAGAAGAAGCACCGGCUAACUCCGUGCCAGCAGCCGCGGUAAUACGGAGGGUGCGAGCGUUAAUCGGAAUUACUGGGCGUAAAGCGCAUGCAGGUGGUUUGUUAAGUCAGAUGUGAAAGCCCGGGGCGUCAACCUCGGAAUAGCAUUUGAAACUAGGCAGACUAGAGUACUGUAGAGGGGGGUAGGAAUUUCAGGUGUAGCGGUGAAAUAGCGUAGAGAUCUGAAGGAAUACCGGUGGCGAAGGCGGCCCCCUCGGACAGAUACUGACACUCAGAUGCGAAAGCGUGGGGAGCAAACAGGAUUAGAUACCCUGGUAG